UACGUAGGGUGCAAGCGUUAAUCGGAAUUACUGGGCGUAAAGCGUGCGCAGGCGGCUUUGCAAGACAGAUGUGAAAUCCCCGGGCUUAACCUGGGAACUGCAUUUGUGACUGCAUGGCUGGAGUGCGGCAGAGGGGGAUGGAAUUCCGCGUGUAGCAGUGAAAUGCGUAGAUAUGCGGAGGAACACCGAUGGCGAAGGCAAUCCCCUGGGCCUGCACUGACGCUGAUGCGCGAAAGCGUGGGGAGCAAACAGG
rnacentral:rRNA from 1 species